rnacentral:rRNA from 1 species
UUUGUGAUAUCGAUUAAUGGAUUGGCCCCGAGCCAUGAAGUUAAUUAGUGUUUAAACACAUCGUCACCAGCGGUUGUGUUUAAACCAAACGUUGCAACGUCUUCUAGCGAUCACGUUGCAGCAAAGUUUAGGUAAUACACAGUUAAUUAUUCAAUUUCUAAUUAACUGAUAUGUGUUUUAUCGAGCGACUUAUCCGAAGGCCCUAGUGAUAGGGUUUAUCGUAAAUUUGAUUGAAGGUAAUUUGUCAGAAUUACUGCGACCCUUUUGGGUUAUAUGGUCAAGUGAAUAAGCGUGCACGGUGGAUGCCUAGGCAGUCAGAGGCGAUGAAGGACGUGGUAACCUGCGAAAAGCUUUGGGAAGGUGGUAAACAACCUAUGAUCCAGAGAUAUCCGAAUGGGGAAACCCACCCAGCGUAAGCUGGGUAUCUUAUACUGAAUACAUAGGUAUAAGAGGCGAACCGGGAGAACUGAAACAUCUAAGUACCCCGAGGAAAAGAAAUCAAUUGAGAUUCCCCUAGUAGCGGCGAGCGAACGGGGAUUAGCCCUUAAGUUUAUUAUGUUUUAGCUUGACCAACAUUGGUUGGUUGAGUGGCUAAGCGAAAGUGAUAAGUAACCCACCUGGGGAGUACGUUCGCAAGAAUGAAACUCAAAGGAAUUGACGGGGGCCCGCACAAGCGGUGGAGCAUGUGGUUUAAUUCGAUGAUACGCGAGGAACCUUACCAGGGCUUAAAUGUAGUCUGACAGGCGUGGAAACAUGCUUUUCUUCGGACAGAUUACAAGGUGCUGCAUGGUUGUCGUCAGCUCGUGCCGUGAGGUGUCAGGUUAAGUCCUAUAACGAGCGCAACCCCUGUUGUUAGUUGCCAGCGAGUCAUGUCGGGAACUCUAACAAGACUGCCGGUGCAAACCGUGAGGAAGGUGGGGAUGACGUCAAAUCAUCACGGCCCUUACGUCCUGGGCCACACACGUGCUACAAUGGUAGGGACAGAGGGCAGCCACUGGGCGACCAGGAGCGAAUCUAUAAAACCUAUCUCAGUUCGGAUCGGAGUCUGCAACUCGACUCCGUGAAGCUGGAAUCGCU